rnacentral:lncRNA from 1 species
CUGAGUGGGAGCAGCUGCCUGUGCGCAGGCUCCUGGCCCACCCCAAGUGCAAAGGAAGCUGCGUUUGCUGAGGCCACCAUCUGUGCUGCUAGCAGAGCUAGCCAGCUUGCGUGAUAUCUCAGAUUUGGAUCAAGGGGAAAAGGAUGACUUUGCUAAGUAGCAGGAAGAUUUUGUAGGCUGGAAUUGGCCCCGGGGAACAAUUACAAACCUUCUGAGCAUGAUGUGGUGUAACGCUCAGCAACGUGGAGGCAAGGGCUGGUGGGAGAGCAGAUAUAAAUGAAUACGAAGGAAGUGCUUCAUCUUUUCUAGGAGCUCAACCUGAGCAGCUUCCAGCUGAAUGUGAGAGAGAGGACUUACACCUGGCUCAGUUUUGCUCAUUUGUUGUCAGAAGCAGCCUCUUGCUUCAGUUCAAGAUAAUUGGCUGCAGCAAGCACCUGAAAGUUGCCCAUUUGGAAUAUAAGAGCUGCAGGAAUUAGGAACUGUUACUGCUUUUUCGGAUCCUUCUCUCUAGAGGAACUGGUGGAGGCAGCAGAGAAAAUGAGAGCGGUGGCAGUAGG